CCUACGGGAGGCAGCAGUGGGGAAUAUUGCACAAUGGGCGCAAGCCUGAUGCAGCGACGCCGCGUGCGGGAUGACGGCCUUCGGGUUGUAAACCGCUUUUGACUGGGAGCAAGCCCUUCGGGGUGAGUGUACCUUUCGAAUAAGCACCGGCUAACUACGUGCCAGCAGCCGCGGUAAUACGUAGGGUGCAAGCGUUAUCCGGAAUUAUUGGGCGUAAAGGGCUCGUAGGCGGUUCGUCGCGUCCGGUGUGAAAGUCCAUCGCUUAACGGUGGAUCCGCGCCGGGUACGGGCGGGCUUGAGUGCGGUAGGGGAGACUGGAAUUCCCGGUGUAACGGUGGAAUGUGUAGAUAUCGGGAAGAACACCAAUGGCGAAGGCAGGUCUCUGGGCCGUCACUGACGCUGAGGAGCGAAAGCGUGGGGAGCGAACAGGAUUAGAUACCCUGGUAGUCCACGCCGUAAACGGUGGAUGCUGGAUGUGGGGACCAUUCCACGGUCUCCGUGUCGGAGCCAACGCGUUAAGCAUCCCGCCUGGGGAGUACGGCCGCAAGGCUAAAACUCAAAGAAAUUGACGGGGGCCCGCACAAGCGGCGGAGCAUGCGGAUUAAUUCGAUGCAACGCGAAGAACCUUACCUGGGCUUGACAUGUUCCCGACAGCCGUAGAGAUACGGUCUCCCUUCGGGGCGGGUUCACAGGUGGUGCAUGGUCGUCGUCAGCUCGUGUCGUGAGAUGUUGGGUUAAGUCCCGCAACGAGCGCAACCCUCGCCCCGUGUUGCCAGCGGAUUAUGCCGGGAACUCACGGGGGACCGCCGGGGUUAACUCGGAGGAAGGUGGGGAUGACGUCAGAUCAUCAUGCCCCUUACGUCCAGGGCUUCACGCAUGCUACAAUGGCCGGUACAACGGGAUGCGACACCGCGAGGUGGAGCGGAUCCCUUAAAACCGGUCUCAGUUCGGAUUGGAGUCUGCAACCCGACUCCAUGAAGGCGGAGUCGCUAGUAAUCGCGGAUCAGCAACGCCGCGGUGAAUGCGUUCCCGGGCCUUGUACACACCGCCCGUCAAGUCAUGAAAGUGGGUAGCACCCGAAGCCGGUGGCCCAACCUUUUGGGGGGAGCCGUCUAAGGUGAGACUCGUGAUUGGGACUAAGUCGUAACAAGGUAGCCGUACCGGAAGGUGCGGCUG
rnacentral:rRNA from 1 species